GACAGAGGGUGCAAACGUUGUUCGGAAUUACUGGGCGUAAAGAGCGUGUAGGCGGCCAGACAGGUCCGUUGUGAAAACUCGAGGCUCAACCUCGGGAUGUCGAUGGAAACCGUCUGGCUAGAGUCCGGAAGAGGAGUGUGGAAUUCCUGGUGUAGCGGUGAAAUGCGCAGAUAUCAGGAAGAACACCUAUGGCGAAGGCAGCACUCUGGGACGGUACUGACGCUGAGACGCGAAAGCGUGGGGAGCGAACAGG
rnacentral:rRNA from 1 species